UAAUCAAAAAUCCAAUAAAUUUUAUACAUUCGUUCUGUAAUACUACACUAUAUUAAUUGUAUCUGAAAAUCUAAUAAAUUUCAUAAAUAUGAUUCGAUAUAGUUUUUAGUAGGUGUGGUUUGAAUUCAGAACAAAUAAUUUUCGGUUCAGGCUGUGAAAUUAUAAAGAAAAACCGAUGUUCGUUAAAAUUGUUCUAUGUUUACAAUCAUUAUAAUGAUGGAUAGGAAAAACACGGAAAAUGGCGAAUAUUGGAUUGUAAAACAGGAAAAAGAAAUAUUUCGAUGGUGUAAAAGAAGCGCCCCAUUCUGAUGAACGAGGAGAUGUUCUUCCGGAGAGAACUUCACCUGAACUGGAUAUUCAAAUUAUUUGAACAAGAUUCUAGUAGACCCUCAGGUAAUAAAUUUCUGCCCUCGGAAGGCCCCUGAAUCCCCAAAUCUAUUUCCCGGCAAGAUUGACUUCUGGAACGAUGCUAGUGUGCAUCAAGUGGCAAUUUUAAUCGCAACGGUGGAUUAGCAGCAGGAAAACGGAACAUCGACCACUUCAGAAGUUUGAACCAUACAUGCGUCAGCCAGACCUACAGGUAUAUGUACAUAAUUUAUCAAUAAAAACAAUCUAAACUUAAAUCACGAUGUAUCAUUUAAACGAAAUCCGAAAAAAAAACGAAAACAUUUAUUUCACUGCAUUGAACUGUAAAUUAAAUCAAAUUGACAAACUAUUACAUCCAUUGGAAUUUCCGAUAAAGAUAAUCAGAACAAAAAUCUAUACAUUUCAAGUUGUGU